rnacentral:rRNA from 1 species
GAUGAACGCUAGCGGCAGGCCUAAUACAUGCAAGUCGAACGGUGUCUUCGGACAUAGUGGCGCACGGGUGCAUAACACGUAUGCAACCUACCUUACAUUGGGGGAUAGCCUUUCGAAAGGGAGAUUAAUACCGCAUAAGACAGUAGCUGGGCAUCCAGCAGCUGUUAAAGAUUUAUCGAUGUAAGCUGGGCAUGCGUCCAAUUAGCUAGUUGGUGAGGUAACGGCUCACCAAGGCAAUGAUUGGUAGGGGAACUGAGAGGUCAAUCCCCCACACUGGCACUGCGAUACGGGCCAGACUCCUACGGGAGGCAGCAGUAGGGAAUAUUGGGCAAUGGACGCAAGUCUGACCCAGCCAUGCCGCGUGCAGGAUGAAGGCGUUAUGCGUUGUAAACUGCUUUUAUACAGGAAGAAACGACUCUUGCGAGAGGCAUUGACGGUACUGUAUGAAUAAGCACCGGCUAACUCCGUGCCAGCCGCCGCGGUAACAC